UGCCAGUGAUGCAUAAACAAAUGCACGUAUUAUCGGAUUCUUCCGUGACGAUCUCACACAAAUAUUGUCACUACCACUGAGGCA
rfam:Oryza sativa (indica cultivar-group) chromosome 9, whole genome shotgun sequence.